UACAGAGGGUGCGAGCGUUAAUCGGAAUUACUGGGCGUAAAGCGUGCGUAGACGGUUAUUUAAGUCGGAUGUGAAAGCCCCGGGCUCAACCUGGGAAUUGCAUUCGAGACUGAAUAGCUAGGGUGCGGUAGAGGGAAGCGGAAUUUCCGGUGUAGCGGUGAAAUGCGUAGAUAUCGGAAGGAACAUCAGUGGCGAAAGCGGCUUCCUGGACCAGUACCGACGUUCAGGCACGAAAGCGUGGGGAGCAAACAGG
rnacentral:rRNA from 1 species